ACUGCAAACAGGCUUUACUUUCAUAAUUUUGGAUUCCAUCAUUUCAAAUAAACGUUUAUUUUAUGGAAAACAUAAAUCUCUACUCUUAUAAAAAUCACAGUUAGUGAUGAUGGUGUGUCUGCCAUCUAUCAAUUUCGACCGUCCGAUCUGCAUCUAACGCAUCUAAGACAAGCUCUGACACUUUUGCAAAAAGACCCCGCCACUCUCCUUGUAUUCUUUUCAGAAAACCCCUUCGUCUCUCCCUUCCAGACCCAUCCAGAUCCAUCCCCUCGCGACCUUUCUCCAGCAAGCCAUGGAAGUCCGAUCUGGCGCGAUGGCCGCUGCCGGCGCCGUCCGCCCCAAAUGCAUCCUCUCUACCACCGCAACCCACCACUCACGACCACCACGGCCUCCCCUCCUCCGCCCCUUUUUCCGUCUCCUCCAGUGCCAAUCUCCGCAAGUACGCUGCCAACGCCGUCCAUUCCCCGACGCCUCUCAUGCCUCCUCCUGUGCCGCAGCAUUCCACCACCUAGCAACGCCGUCCGUCCCUCGCUGUGUCUUUCUUUCCUCCGUUUGGUUUCUGCCGCCCAGCUCGCUCACCGUCGUCGAUACCGCAUUGAUCUCGCACCCGUUGCUGUCGCCGCUCGCUCAUCGUCGCCAGAACGUGGUACCUGCAUCUCUUGCGCGUGUGGAGAGGUCCCACACCCUGCCGGCACGCCCGCUCGCCGUUGCCUAUCCGGGACGGUCGCGCUCGCCUGGACUGCAUCGAGUCCUCCCGAGCGCCGCGCCGCGCCACGUCGAGAAACGAGUUGGCCGUCCGUCUCUUCCAUCCAAGUGCAUCGCCAACUCUUCGUUUAUUUUCUGGGACAUGCCUUAGUCUGAAAAUCGCACAAGAUGUCUUCUGUCUUCUUUCCAGCCAGGAGAUAGCCCAAACCAAGCUGCUGCAGGUAUGUAACAAUGUUCUUCUGACCAAGUUAUUUGCAACUGAUGCUCUAUUUCAUCAUCUGAACAAUUCAACAUAUGAGGAAGCUCUGCAGGUAGAUCUAGAAACGGUGCCACUGUCGUCCGAUACACAGAGCUCCAAUGAUACAACCACAAUAACUGCAUCUAGCACAUCAUAUGUUCAUCAUAGCCAUGUCACAGUUGUAAAAUGAGAGCAAUCGAUGGUUAUUGUAGUUGUAUCAUUAUGCAGCUGCAUUAGGAGCAGCUAGCACACCAUCUAAAACAUCAUCUGCUGCUACAGGUAUUAGCAGGAUCCUUUUUAUGCAGCAUUAUCUUUUGUGGAUUA